rnacentral:rRNA from 1 species
AGAGUUUGAUCCUGGCUCAGAGUGAACGCUGGCGGCGUGCUUAACACAUGCAAGUCGUACGAGAACGCUCUAGCUUGCUAGAGCAAGUAAAGUGGCGCACGGUGUGAGUAACGCGUGGGUAAUCUACCUUCGAAUUGGGGAUAACGUUGCGAAAGCGACGCUAAUACCGAAUAACAUCCAUUUAUCUUCGGAUUUUUGGAUCAAGGGGGGCCUCUACAUGUAAGCUAUUGUUUGGAGAUGAGCCCGCGUACCAUUAGCUUGUUGGUGGGGUAACGGCCUACCAAGGCAACGAUGGUGAGCUGGUCUAAGAGGAUGAUCACCCACACUGGAACUGACACACGGUCCAGACUCCUACAGGAGGCAUCAGUGAGGAAUUUUGCACAAAGGGGGAAAACCUGACGGACCACCUCCGCGUGAGUGAUGAACGCCUUCGGGUCGUAAAGCUCUGUCCAGUGGGAAGAACCUAUGCAGUGUUAACGUCUCUGGGUACUGACGGUACCACU